rnacentral:lncRNA from 1 species
UUGAAUAUAUAAAUAAAAAUAUUACAUAAAUAUACAUUUAAAUCAAAAGAAAAAACUAACAUUCGUCUACUUUGCUCAAACAAAAAAAAACUUAUAUCUAUUUUCUGAAUCUUCUUUCUUUAUUGAACACCAUUCAACCAUAGAAACUUGAUGACAAUUUUUCACUAACCUACAAUCAAAAUGUUUUUCUUGAAAAAAAAAAAGAAUAAGAAAGAUAUUCCAAGCAAAACAUUGAUGUUUGGAGAGUCACAUUCAAGAUUGAGUAAUACAUACAAAUCAUAUAUAAAGGUCAAAUGAGAAAUUGAAUAUAAAGGAUAGAAAAACUUCAUAUGUUUUGGUUGAAGGAAAAAAUCAUAUUACAAUUACCAUCGAUGCGACAUAACUCAUUUCUUCAAAUCAUCAUAUUUGGAUCAUGAAUGAUUCAACUAUAUAAAAACUUUUGAAUCAUAAUAUCUUCAACCAAAUGACGACUUUUUAUAAGAAAAAUGUAUUAAUAUAACUACAUAUAUAAUGAAGGUGAAAAGGUGUGGGGGUUUGAAAUGCAUGAGGUGUUGGACUUAUAGAGUGUGUGAUUUUCUUGGAAUGGGAUUAUGUGUGAUUAAUUACUUUGAAGGUGAAAGGGUGUAGGAGUUUUAAAUGCAUGAGAUUCAAGAAAAAAUGCUAACUUUAUAAGUAUGUAUGAUAUGAUAAUGAAAUGAUAAUGAUAAUGAUACCAUAUAUGGUUUUUUUACAUAAGUUUGGCCUUAUUUUAGUAGAUGUUAAAAUUUCAAAAAGUUAUUAUUAAAACACGAGAUUGAAAUUUGGUACCCAAUCAAAUCAAGGAAAAUUAGAUUUGAUGUUGGAAUGAGUGUAAUGAUUUUUUAUUAUAAUGAAAUAAAAUUAUAUAAACAAAAUUGUAAACAACUUCUUCGUCCAUAAAAAUCAUUUCAAUUGAUAAAACAACAAUAUUAUUUUGUAAAGUUGCAUAGCUUCGGUACUCAGACCUUGAUGUGUAUAUCAUCAUUCAUUUUUGUCCGUCACAUCAUCUUUUACCUCACUCUUCUUUCCCUCACUAAAACCCGAAACCUAUCAAGGUCUUAUCGAAGUUGUUCAUAUUAUAGUUCAAAAUGAACUAUUGAAAACGAGUUCAAAACCAUGUCAAUAGUCAACUCUUUUGGCAACUCGAUACUAAGAUUCCUCAAUCUAUCAUCCACAGUUAAUGUCAAAACCACAUAUAUAAUUAUAAACAACAAAUUUGUGCUUCAAAGUUUAUACAGUUAAGCUAAAACUUUAAUUAAAGAGAAAAAAAAACUCCAUAAAAGUCCUUAUAUUUUAGUCUGAUAAUCAAUUUAGUCUUUAUAUGUUAUUAUUAUUCAAUUAAGUCCCCAAAACUGGAAAUUAUAUUAAUUUUGACCAUUUUACCCAGUCAAACAGGUCAUCUCACCGUCAAAAUUUGCACUUUUGGCUGAGAUUUUAAACUUUUAUUACAAUUUUGGUCAAAAUUUUACACUUUUGACCCAGAUUCAAAACUUUGUUACAAAUUCAUCAUAAAUUUAGUUUUUUUUUUUCAUCUUUUAUUUUAAAAAAAAUUUCGAAUAUAUUUUUUCCACAGUAUAAAAUCAUAUUUAAAAAAAAAGCAUAUUUCACAUAAAAAAACCUUCUAUUUUCUAUAUAAAAACUUUUUUUAAAAAAAGAUAUUUGUUUAUGCAAAAUACUUAUAUAAAAACCUUCUUUUUAAAAACACUUUUGUAUGCAUAAUAACUAUUUAUAAAAAAAUCUUUUUUAUUUUAAAUACCUAUUUAUAAAAACAUAGAUAUGUGAAAAUGCAUAAAAAAAGCAUAUUUCACAUAAAAAAACCUUCUAUUUUCUAUAUAAAAACUUUUUUUAAAAAAAGAUAUUUGUUUAUGCAAAAUACUUAUAUAAAAACCUUCUUUUUAAAAACACUUUUGUAUGCAUAAUAACUAUUUAUAAAAAAAUCUUUUUUAUUUUAAAUACCUAUUUAUAAAAACAUAGAUAUGUGAAAAUGCAUGAAAUACACUUAUGUAAAAUACAUUAUUAUAUUC